UCCCGGGUCGUCUAACGGCAGGACACUUGGUUCUGGUCCAAGGAAUCGGGGUUCGAAUCCCUGCCCGGGAGCCA
rnacentral:tRNA from 1 species